rnacentral:rRNA from 1 species
ACUCCUACGGGGCAGGCAGUGGGAGGAUAUUGGACAAUGGGGGAAACCCUGAUCCAGCCAUGCCGCGUGUGUGAAGAAGGCCUUCGGGUUGUAAAGCACUUUCAGUGGGGAGGAAAGGUUGAUGGUUAAUACCCAUCAGCUGUGACGUUACCCACAGAAGAAGCACCGGCUAACUCCGUGCCAGCAGCCGCGGUAAUACGGAGGGUGCAAGCGUUAAUCGGAAUUACUGGGCGUAAAGCGUGCGCAGGCGGUCUGUUAAGCGAGAUGUGAAAGCCCCGGGCUCAACCUGGGAACUGCAUUUCGAACUGGCAGACUAGAGUCUUGUAGAGGGGGUAGAAUUCCAGGUGUAGCGGUGAAAUGCGUAGAGAUCUGGAGGAAUACCGGUGGCGAAGGCGGCCCCCUGGACAAAGACUGACGCUCAGGCACGAAAGCGUGGGGAGCAAAACAGGAUUAGAUACCCUGGUAGCUCGAUGU